rnacentral:lncRNA from 1 species
UGUCUCCUACAUACCUCAGAGGAUCAUGGGAGUGCAUUUCAAUAGGGCGGGGAGUGCCUCCCAGACCUCCUCUGGUGAGAGCAUCUAUAAAGCCACGGACUACAGCACUCCUUCGAGCUGUUCCGAACUCAUCCAGAGUGUACUUGUACAGAACAGGUCUAUCUUGUAAGGCUUCCAUAGCUUGAGCGAGAACUGGAGAAAUGUCACACGAUUCUUGUGUCAAAGUCCUGCACUCAUUUUGAGUCCAUCUGUAAAGUCGCUCAUAAGAUGUCUCUUGCAGUAAAGCCAUCUGUUCCAUAAUUUCCAAGCCUGCCCUUUGCUGAUUUGUCCGGAGGAGAAUCUUGACAUCAUCAUGAAUUUGCUUUACUCUUCCCAAAGCCUUGAAAAAGUCCUCGGUAAUUGGCUCAUCUUUCGUGCCUCGAAGGAGGUUCAUUUCAUCUGGUGUCAGCUGGAAUUUUGCUAUGAAUGCAUCUGCAACUUGUGCUUUCAUUUCUAGUCUCUGAUUUUCUGCUUGGAGCUUUGUGGUUUUU